rnacentral:rRNA from 1 species
AUUGAACGCUGGCGGCAUGCCUUACACAUGCAAGUCGAACGGCAGCACGGGUGCUUGCACCUGGUGGCGAGUGGCGAACGGGUGAGUAAUACAUCGGAACAUGUCCUGUAGUGGGGGAUAGCCCGGCGAAAGCCGGAUUAAUACCGCAUACGAUCCACGGAUGAAAGCGGGGGACCUUAGGGCCUCGCGCUAUAGGGUUGGCCGAUGGCUGAUUAGCUAGUUGGUGGGGUAAAGGCCUACCAAGGCGACGAUCAGUAGCUGGUCUGAGAGGACGACCAGCCACACUGGGACUGAGACACGGCCCAGACUCCUACGGGAGGCAGCAGUGGGGAAUUUUGGACAAUGGGCGAAAGCCUGAUCCAGCAAUGCCGCGUGUGUGAAGAAGGCCUUCGGGUUGUAAAGCACUUUUGUCCGGAAAGAAAUCCUUGACUCUAAUACAGUCGGGGGAUGACGGUACCGGAAGAAUAAGCACCGGCUAACUACGUG